GCUUUCGCUUUCGCUUUCCCAAGUGCUGAUGCUUGUCUUGUCCGUCCGGGCAUAGAUGGAAAAUGAAGGGGGGAGGCUUUGUGCUCUUCCCGGACCUCUGGAAGCUGGACUUUAAUGCCCGCAGCUGGCCGAGCCCCGCGAGGUGACCAGCACAGCUGCAAGAAACAACAAAUGUGAAUUUGUUGAAGAAGCAGGGAAAGACUGAAAUGAACUGAUGAAAAAUCAAGUAAAGGAAGCCAAGGAAACAGUAAAUACAACGUCCACCUGAUAACCACAACCACAAAAAUGGAAAAUUAGCGUCACCAUACUACAAAGAACAAGCUUAGUCUCAAAAAAGAGAUAAGAAGACACCUCCCUCUUCUACAGUAUCCCAAAGCCUUACUUGAAGACUGCCAUUGAGAUAAGUGGAUUCUACUUUUGAAUAGCUCUAAUAGAGACAUAAAGUAAGACAGAGGGAUUUUCCCCCCCUCAGGAGCUCACAGUGAACAGCUCUUACAGGGACUGAAAUGGGGCCAUGCACGUACAGAAGACAUUGCCUGACUGACUGAAAAAUAAGUCAUUAUUCACCAGGCCUCUGGGUUUCCCUGUUGACUCACAGUUUAUGAGGCUCCGGUCCAGCUGAUGGUACAGAUGAGCGUGUAAACAGAUGUUGAUUCAGAUACACCCAGAUGGCUUCACUGAGUGCAGACUUGCUUGCUCUGUCCUUCCACUGACCACCAGACAGCUUAGCAUGGCAGCCCGUGCCCUGACAAGAUGGUUCGAUCUCACUUCCUAGGCAGAUGGAUGAAUGGCUUUCCUGUCCCAUGCUUUGGACCUGACUGACUUGGACCUUUGAACGAAGAACUGUUGCUCUCCAGCUUUCAGUUAGGUGGAAAUACUUAUGUUCUAAACCAGACUUAAGUUGGCAACAAUCCAGCUUAUGGAUUGCUACAGAAGUGAAUUUUAACAUCUGUAUUUGAGACUGACAAUACUUUUUUCUCUGUCGGAACUGGACCUAAUAAACUUGUGUUUGUUUCUCUGC